rnacentral:rRNA from 1 species
GCGUGGGUGAAGAAGGUCUUCGGAUUGUAAAGCCCUUUCGGCGGGGACGAUGAUGACGGUACCCGCAGAAGAAGCCCCGGCUAACUUCGUGCCAGCAGCCGCGGUAAUACGAAGGGGGCUAGCGUUGCUCGGAAUGACUGGGCGUAAAGGGCGCGUAGGCGGCUCACAGAGUCGGACGUGAAAUUCCUGGGCUUAACCUGGGGGCUGCGUUCGAUACCUGUGGACUAGAGUGGGGAAGAGGGUCGUGGAAUUCCCAGUGUAGAGGUGAAAUUCGU